rnacentral:rRNA from 1 species
UGCCAGACUCCUACGGGAGGCAGCAGUCGGGAAUAUUGCGCAAUGGAGGAAACUCUGACGCAGUGACGCCGCGUAUAGGAAGAAGGUUUUCGGAUUGUAAACUAUUGUCGUGAGGGAAGAAAUUGACAGUACCUCAGGAGGAAGCUCCGGCUAACUAUGUGCCAGCAGCCGCGGUAAUACGUAGGGAGCAAGCGUUGUCCGGAUUUACUGGGUGUAAAGGGUGCGUAGGCGGUCUUGCAAGUCAGACGUGAGAACCACAGGCUCAACCUGUGGACUGCGUUUGAAACUGUGGGGCUUGAGUGAAGUAGAGGUAGGCGGAAUUCCCGGUGUAGCGGUGAAAUGCGUAGAGAUCGGGAGGAACACCAGUGGCGAAGGCGGCCUACUGGGCUUUAACUGACGCUGAGGCACGAAAGCAUGGGUAGCAAACAGGAUUAGAUACCCCCGUAC